UCCUCAUCUUCCAUCAAUACCUCGCUAUUAUCAAGCACAUGGAGUAGUUUCCUCUUCUUAUGAUUUGUUGGGCUAUCUAAUAUCUCAACAUCAGAGGGGCUUCCAGUAUGAACUUCUUUAUCAUAUUUGUAUAUUGGAUAUCCCCUUCUUUUGUUCAUGUAUGAAGAUAGUAAUAUAGCAGCCAAUUUUUUUCUAAAAUGUGACAUGUCAUCCUGCAAAUAAGAAACAAUUUACUUAGCAUUAUAUGUAACACAGACUGUAGAUGUGCAUAUAUGCCAUAAUAGUAAUAAUAUACCUGGGUAAAACUGUCAGAUAGCUCAUCCCCUGUCCAGUACUCGAUAUAGUUCAAAAGAAAUAGGCCACAUGAAGAGCUACAUUAUAUACAUGAAUAAAAAUGUCAAAAUUAACAUUUGUAUGAAGAAAUUAGUUAAGAAGAAUUUAUGGUAUACCCAUCUGUCUGCUUUGCAUAUCCCAUAUCUAUUUCUCUCAGCGGCCAAGAAGCAACUUGAAGGUUUGGCCACCUGUGAUCUUUUAAAUCUUUACGUUGAGAUACCAUAUCAAUUUGCCUUUGCAGCCCUUUAAUCUUUAUAUUUUUGUAAAACAUGGAAUCAGAUGUUGCGCUAAGUUAAUGAGAUAAUAUUAGUAAUUGUUUAGUUUGUGCAAACUCACCGAGUCAGUGAGGUCAUUGCGGUCAAAUGUAGUACCAAGUGAAUCGAGUACUUGUAUCUCCAUAUUUCUUGCAUUGAUGACGGCAAGAUACCAGUGUGUUCCUCGGAUGUUUAUCGGAAUAAACACCUACAAAAUAAUUAUAAAUAUUCCAUAAAAAUAAAAUACAUGUAAACACUAACCAUCUAAAUUGCAAACUAAUAUUUACCAUAUCAUGGUCUAGGUAGAGUAAAACCCUUCGUUCAGCACUACAUAUUUGUGCCAUGUCUGCAAUUGGAUAUAGCUCAUCUGUUUUAGUUUUAACAUCACCGUCUCGCUUUAGAAAGUUGAACUGAAAAGCAUUUUCUAUGUGUACACGACCUCCAGAUCUGCACUUUAGUUGCUGUGUGGUUUUUAUUAAAUUUAUGUAACAGUCUAUCACCUGCAGGUAAUUUAUGGUUAAAAAUACCAGGGUGAGUAAAAAAAAUUAUACAUACCAGGGUCACCAGAUGAAAAACUAAUCAUAGAUUACCUCAUCACCUAUAUAUGCGCCCGGUUUAAAUAGACAUUCUAUCCAUUUCCUUUCCACACAGGCAUCAUCGAUGAGCACGACUUCUACCCUUGGUUCACAAGGGAUUUCUUUAAUCCAAUCGAUGAGGGCAAGAUCAGCAUCCGUGCAAAUAUAAUCUAGGAACAAAACAGUUGUGAGAUGAAAGUAAAAUCGCUUACAAUAUAAAACAAAUUGAUCCCUACAGUAUUAGUAGAGAUAUAUAAUACCUUUCGGAACAAUUACAGUUGCCACCGAUUUUUUAGGCUUGUUAUGAGACAAGCACACAAGUAAAGAUUCAUCUACUGAUAGUUUAUUAUCUCUUUGGGUGGUAGGAAGUAUAGUAUUUUUCUCUUGAUCUUCCAUCCUCGCGAGACAAAAACCUACAAUCAUUGAUACUAUGUUUUACUUGAUAUAUCAAUAAAAAUGUCUCUACUAUAACAAGUUGAAAAUAUGUCUCAAUCUGGUAUCACGAUUGCCAAAUAACCAAGUAUAGCAAUAGCAAACAUAUAUAUUCAAUAAUAUGUAACCAGCUGAAACAAGGUACAUGGCAAACAUUAGUGAGGACAUAAAAGUGAACAACUAUUAGUUCAAACAAUGUGAUUAAGGAACUGAUUAAAUAGUGAUAGUAGAUAUAACUAACAUACAAUUGUAAUACCUUCUUGGACAGCUAUAUUUGUAUUUAGAGGUGAUCCAUUAUCAAAUGUUGCAUCCUUGUCCAAUUGACUUUCAUCAACUCGUACUUCAUUUUCUUCCUCUAAAGAAUCCAUCAAGGAGAAAGAGUCCUGCAUACAUUGCGAAUAAAAUCAUCUAAUCAUCUAAAUAUAUUGUACAUACAUAAUUGCUAUGGAAUCAAUAUGAUAAAAUACAAAUAGGUCCAGUGGACAAUUAGCCCCACCCGGUGAUUCCCCUUUUAGGCAUCCUAUUUCACCCUUUUAGGUUGGUGUUGAUUUUGAUGAUAAAAAUAGCUGGGAGUAUCUUUUCAAGUUAUAUUGGUUGGAUCUGAAAGGGAAGCAUUUACUAACGAUUGAAGAGCUAAAAAGUGCAAAGAACUAUUGGACUGUUCCUACUACUGCUAGUAGGAGAGAGAAAGAGGAGUCAUCUGAUGAACUAUAUGAUGCAAGCAAUGACCAAGAUGCUUACUGAAUGGAUCUUUAUGUUCACAUACAUAGCAAAAUGUCACAUUAUAAAGAUGUAUUAUCUGGUUUGAUUAACUAAUAGUCUAAUACUACAGAGUAUAGACCUCAGAUGCUAAAUACUUACACUUUCAUAUCUAAUCCUAGCCGACUGGUGACAUGCACGAUCUAAUUAUAGCGGAUGAGAUUAGAUGGCGAAGGGGUAUGAACCGGUAUGCAAUUCAACCCGUCCGAUGUAAAUCCGAAGGCUCAGAAUUUUAAGGAACCGUGAUCCCACCAGGGCGGUCUGGAUCGAAUUUAACGGCUUAGAUGGACACACUAAAACGGUAUGGCUCAAACCAAUCGCCACCGUCCAUUUACGGAUCUAUGGUCGCUCUGGCGUCUUCAACCUCACCGGUUCUCUCUCUUUUCUUUCUCCAGCCAACCCGCCGCGGCCGAGCGCCAAAGACACGGCAGCGACCACCCGAGCUCGCCGUUCGAGCCCCCGAUAAACGGCGCAAACCCUUCUUCUCCCCAAACUCCCUGUCUUCGUCUUCCCAGGUCGGCACCCAGCCUUCUUCUACCAUCCGCCCGAGUCUGCGCGCCUCCCAGCGGCAAGUCUCCCUCCCCGACAGCGCCUGGAUCGUUGUCUCGCGCACCACCAAAAAAAUGCAACGGAGCGAGAAGGGGGACUCACCGUCGAUGGAGAGAACUUGGCCGACGGCGUUGCAGAGGGAGGGAGCAGUUCGAUGGCGGCACGCAGACUCGAUCCAGGGUCUCUCACGAACGCGGUGAUGUUGGUUGGCCGGAUGUCCGAGGGACGAACGCGCCUGGAUCGUUGGCCGGAUGUUCGUUGCAGAGGGACGAACGCGGUGACCACCGGUGAUGGGAGGAACACGCGCAGCACAGCCGCACCCAGAGCCGGCGAACAUCCGGGCGGACGCUUUAUAGGCGAGCUAAGGCGGAGAAGUCGCGGUUGGCAGUUGCGGCGUGCGUACGGGGACCCCGUACUCUACGGGCACCACAGCGGAAUGCAAGGGAUGAUGUUAUUCAUGACGCCACGAUGACGUCACGCCCGCGUUUAAUAUUAAAGUAUUGACCACAGCGGAUCGGCAUGGGCCCAGUCGCCAGUGACAGCAUAGGAGCUGAAGCGCGGCCCCCGAGCGGCAGUGGCACACGACGCGCGCGGAUGGCUCUGGGCUGCGCAGUGGACGCGGGUGAGGCUGAAGUGGGCCGCAAGAUUUGAUUUGGGCCCGGCACGAGAAUCACCAUUUUCUUUUCUUUUUCUUUUUUCUGUUUUCUCUUUUAAUUUCUUUAGAUCUCAAAUUUGAAAUUCGAGUUUUUGUUGUGAGUUUCACGUAUGGACUAAAUACACGAAUUCAAAUACUGGUCUAAAAUAGUUUCUUUAUUUAUUUAUGUAUUUAUUUUUUUUCUCCUCACUUGCAUAGUAUUCAAACUUCAUUGCUUACAAUAUUUGCGCCGGGUGUACUCGUGACUCCACUUGGGGCGUAAGGUGAAUUUCCUUACAAUACCAUACCACAAGCUGGUUCCACACUUUCACUCACAUACGGGGUCCUGCAAUCUUCUUUGUUUGACAGAAUUUUUUUUACUGGAAUUGGGCAGUUCAGUGUUGGCGCACUUUGUGCUCAAGGAGCGGCUUGAGAAGCUCAGGGUCCUUGGCUGCGUGUCGUGCAUAGUAGGUUCAGUUGUUGUUGUCAUGCAUGCUCCUGAAGAGCAUAUGCCUAACUCUGUCAAGGAAAUCUAGAACCUAGCUACUCAACCAGGUGAGUCAUUGCAACCCAGUCUUGCGCACGACAGUUCGCUGGAGUUGCAGUUCUCACAGAAUCUCUCCAUCCUGGGGUGUCGAUCGUUGGUAGGGUUUCUAGCAUAUGUGGUGACAGCAUUGUUUCUUGUGGGAGCGCUAGUGCUCUUCUUUGAACCUCGAUACGGUUAGACUAACAUCCUGAUAUAUCUGGGUAUCUGCUCUUCAAUGGGAUCGCUAACGGUCGUGAGCAUCAAAGCCAUUGGUGUUGCCAUAAAGCUUACGUUGGAUGGGGUGAAUCAGGCUGCUUAUCCAUACACAUGGCUUUUUCUUAAUUGUUUGUGGGGUUUCUCAAAUAAAUUACCUGAACAAGGUAUGGACAUCCUUUUUUCAUCCUGUUGCUUCACCCGUGGAUGUGUUUUGCUGAUUGCACCUACAUCUUGUAGCCUUGUACUUCUGAGUAUGAACUACUAAAAGUUUUUGUUAUUCUGCAACAUCUACAAGCAUAUUUUAAGUAUCCAUUACAAGUUAUCAAGAAAACUUGCAUCUUAAAUUGGUUAAUGUAUUUCUAAUCGUUGCAGCGUAUAUCUUAGUUUGAGUUAUUCUAAAUUUCCUUCUAUUUUUGCAGGCAUUGGAUACCUUUUUUUCUUAUUUGCCAGAAUAGUUACUUGUCUGAUGUAGCAGAACAUUCAGACUCAGAAGAUACAAAAAGCAAUGGGAUCCCUAUCAAUCCUAUUAUAUAUAUCAUGUUAACUGAAACCAGUGCUCCUAUUCUAGACAUACACCUGGUUUGAAGUAAAACCUAUAACAAGAGCACUGUAAAAAACGUCUAACAGACAAAAAAAGAGUAAACUCAUAUACAAAUUUGUUUAAUCUCUAAUAGGAACUGCACAUCAAAGCACGACUCUGUGUGGUUGUCUUGCAGGGAACUGUCAACCAAGGAUCAACUCUUCAGCUGAAAGAACGUGUACACAAGCCAGAGAUCAUGUUAUGCCACCUCAAGCCUUCCUCAGAGCCUUGACCCGAGCAGACAAUUCAUCGAAGUCUGGCAUUUUUGGGAGAACAUGCGCACUCCUAGGACCUUCCGGCUGAAGUGAUGUGCAUCGAGCAUGAACCUUCGCAUCUUUGCUCGGGCCAACAGAUUCAGGUGGUAGCGAGAUAGCUCUACCCGUGGGAUGCAAGGAGCCAAGGAAACCUUAUGCACAGCAUCUGUAUGUGUUUCAUUGUUGGUCAGAUCCGAACCUUUCUUUGUAUAGUGCAUCAAAAGCUUGUCCAUCAUCCUUUCCUCCUCAUCCAUGUCUCCGCCGCGCCCGCUGUUGUGUCGCAUCUGUCCAUUUGCAUUUCGAGGAAAGAGAUUACCACAAUCAAUAGCAGUCUCAGCUGCUUCAGGUUGCAUACGCUGCAUCAACCUGGCAGAGUUGUUCUUGUGGUUUAAAGCAUUGUUAGGACCUCAACAUAAGCAUCAACAGGCGCUGGCAGCUUUGCAGUUCUCCUUCUGACAGAAACAGGAUCAUCAUUCACAGGUUGUAUGAAGGCAUUGCUAGUUCUGCUGGCUUCCUUGAACCCUUCUCAGGCAUAUCCUAAGGGAAAGUGUAAAACACAUUAAAUGAUUUCAAGUUAAGGACAUUUUAGUGUGUCUACAUCAUAGUUCAUGUAAUAAAUAUGUUUUGG